GUGAAUCAUCAAAUCUUUGAACGCAAAUUGCACUCUCUUCGGAGAGUAUGCGUGUUUGAGUGUGAGCCUAAAUAAAAAAUCGAUAUAGUCGCUGUUUUGCGGUGACAUUUGUCGGACAUUGGGUCAUUUUAUUUUUUUUGUUUUUAACCGGCUUAAAAUUUUUUUUAAGUUUUUUUGAACGUUUUCAAGAUUUACUCAUUAUUUU
rnacentral:misc_RNA from 1 species